GACGAACGCUGGCGGCGUGCUUAACACAUGCAAGUCGAACGGUGAAGCGCCUUCCUUUUUGGUGGGUGUGGAUGCGUGGCGAACGGGUGAGUAACACGUGAGUAACCUGCCCCCUUCUUCUGGAUAACCGCAUGAAAGUGUGGCUAAUACGGGAUAUUCUGGUUCUGUCGCAUGAUGGGUCUGGGAAAGAUAUUGUUUCGGUGGGGGAUGGGCUCGCGGCCGAUCAGCUUGUUGGUGGGGUGAUGGCCUACCAAGGCGGUGACGGGUAGCCGGCCUGAGAGGGUGGACGGUCACACUGGGACUGCGGCACGGCCGAGACUGCGACGGGGGGCAGCAGUGGGGAGUAUGGCACAAUGGGCGAAAGCCUGAUGCAGCGACGCCGCGUGAGGGAUGGAGGCCUUCGGGUUGUGAACCUCUUUCGCCAGUGAAGCAGGCCUGCCUCGUUUGUGGGUGGGUUGACGGUAGCUGGAGAAGAAGCGCCGGCUAACUACGUG
rnacentral:rRNA from 1 species